rnacentral:rRNA from 1 species
UACAGAGGGGGCGAGCGUUUGUUCGGAAUUACUGGGCGUAAAGGGCGCGUAGGCGGCCUUCUAAGUCGAACGUGAAAUCCCCGGGCUCAACCCGGGAACUGCGUCCGAUACUGGGAGGCUUGAAUCCGGGAGAGGGAUGUGGAAUUCCAGGUGUAGCGGUGAAAUGCGUAGAUAUCUGGAGGAACACCGGUGGCGAAGGCGGCAUCCUGGACCGGUAUUGACGCUGAGGCGCGAAAGCCAGGGGGAGC